rnacentral:rRNA from 1 species
GAUGAACGCUGGCGGCGUGCCUAACACAUGCAAGUCGAACGAUGAAACCGCCCUCGGGCGGACAUGAAGUGGCGAACGGGUGAGUAACACGUGACCAACCUGCCCCCCUCUCCGGGACAACCUUGGGAAACCGAGGCUAAUACCGGAUACUCCCUCCCCUGCUCCUGCAGGGGUCGGGAAAGCCCAGGCGGAGGGGGAUGGGGUCGCGGCCCAUUAGGUAGUAGGCGGGGUAACGGCCCACCUAGCCCGCGAUGGGUAGCCGGGUUGAGAGACCGACCGGCCACAUUGGGACUGAGAUACGGCCCAGACUCCUACGGGAGGCAGCAGUGGGGAAUUUUGCGCAAUGGGGGCAACCCUGACGCAGCAACGCCGCGUGCGGGACGACGGCCUUCGGGUUGUAAACCGCUUUCAGCAGGGAAGAAAUUCGACGGUACCUGCAGAAGAAGCUCCGGCUAACUACGUGCCAGCAGCCGCGGUAAUACGUAGGGAGCGAGCGUUAUCCGGAUUCAUUGGGCGUAAAGAGCGCGUAGGCGGCCUCUCAAGCGGGAUCUCUAAUCCGAGGGCUCAACCCCCGGCCGGAUCCCGAACUGGGAGGCUCGAGUUCGGUAGAGGCAGGCGGAAUUCCCGGUGUAGCGGUGGAAUGCGCAGAUAUCGGGAAGAACACCGAUGGCGAAGGCAGCCUGCUGGGCCGCAACUGACGCUGAGGCGCGAAAGCUAGGGGAGCGAACAGGAUUAGAUACCCUGGUAGUCCUAGCCGUAAACGA